CCCGUAUAAGAUAAGAAUGGACGUUGGGAUUGAGACGAUGUCUGACAAAUUCAACAACAUGCUUGAAAGAUUUUUACCCCAUGGGUACGACUCAAAAUUACCACUCUCUAUAAGAAAGAACGUAAACUUGUCUAUCAAACUAACAUUGUCCUUAUCAAAAAGACAAACAAAGAAUUCCAACAUAUACAGGAUACACAACUGUACAACAUCCAAAUCAUUUGUC
rnacentral:lncRNA from 1 species